rnacentral:rRNA from 1 species
UCGGACGGGUGAGUAACGCGUGAGAAUCUGGCAAAAGGUUCGGGACAACAGUUGGAAACGACUGCUAAUACCGGAUGUGCCUGUGGGUGAAAGAUUAAUCGCCUUUUGACGAGCUCGCGUCUGAUUAGCUAGUUGGUGUGGUAAGAGCGCACCAAGGCGACGAUCAGUAGCUGGUCUGAGAGGAUGACCAGUCACACUGGGACUGAGACACGGCCCAGACUCCUACGGGAGGCAGCAGUGGGGAAUUUUCCGCAAUGGGCGAAAGCCUGACGGAGCAAUACCGCGUGAGGGAGGAAGGCUCUUGGGUUGUAAACCUCUUUUCUCAGGGAAUAAGAAAGUGAAGGUACCUGAGGAAUCAGCAUCGGCUAACUCCGUGCCAGCAGCCGCGGUAAUACGGAGGAUGCAAGCGUUAUCCGGAAUGAUUGGGCGUAAAGCGUCCGCAGGUGGUUGCUCAAGUCUGCUGUCAAAGAGUCUGGCUCAACCAGAUAAAGGCAGUGGAAACUGAGAGACUAGAGUGCGGUAGGGGCAGAGGGAAUUCCUGGUGUAGCGGUGAAAUGCGUAGAGAUCAGGAAGAACACCGGUGGCGAAAGCGCUCUGCUGGACCGCAACUGACACUGAGGGACGAAAGCUAGGGGAGCGAAUGGGAUUAGAUACCCCAGUAGUC